UUUCGCAAUGCCCGAAAGGGUGACAAUGCGACGCCGCGUGAGCGAUGAAGGCCUUCGGGUUGUAAAGCUCUGUCAGCCGGGAUGAAUACGGAUAUGUUAAUAACAUGUCCGGGUGACGUUACCGGCAAAGGAAGCCACGGCUAACUCCGUGCCAGCAGCCGCGGUAAUACGGAGGUGGCAAGCGUUGUUCGGAUUCACUGGGUGUAAAGGACAUGUAGGUGUCUUAUUAAGUCGGUUGUGAAAUCCCUUGGCUCAACCAAGGAACUGCUUCCGAUACUGGUAAGAUUGAGUACGGGAGAGGUAAGCGGAAUUCCAGAAGUAAGAGUGAAAUCUGUAGAUAUCUGGAGGAACACCAUUAGCGAAGGCGGCUUACUGGUCCGAUACUGACACUGAAAUGUGAAAGCUAGGGGAGCAAACAGGAUUAGAUACCCUGGUAGUCCUAGCUGUAAACGAUGGGCACUAAGUAGAGGGGUUUU
rnacentral:rRNA from 1 species